AAAUAUUUCAUUUUGGCCCUUUUCAAAUGUUACCAGGCCUUCACGCGCGCGCUCUCCAUCUCUCAUUCCCGAAGCAACGCUAGCUCUCUUUGCAACGACCACUCAAACCAUUCAUUCACUGCUUCUUGCAAAUUCUCAUGUCGUAUCUCAUGAUUCGUUUUCUACGAAUCUAUAAUUUCGAUUUCAAAUGUCAGCAGUAUUGGAUUUCUACCUGACAGAAAAUUUCCAAAGAUCGUUGCAAUCAAGAAACUAACCCUUCGAGUGGAUAUGAUUAGACAUUUUCCUUUGCAAGUCAUCAUGGGAGCAGCUGGAUAUACACACAGCAAGUUGUGUCAUGAAAGUCGUUCCAUGCCAUUUGUUUCUGGUGAAGAAGAUCUCUGUUGUGGUUCACAUUACUGUAGUCCUUCGCUAGUGAUUCACUGCCGUCAUGUCCAGUCGCUGAUCUCUACUGUGGUUUACGUUGAUUCAUCGGCCAAGCAGAUCCAUCUUUGCUAGUCUUCUGCAUUCAGCAUUGUUGUUCGGACCCGAGGAACCGAGGACCCCAACAGUGAGAUAGCUGCUUUCGAGUCUUGUCA